rnacentral:rRNA from 1 species
GUGGGGAAUAUUGGACAAUGGGCGAAAGCCUGAUCCAGCCAUGCCGCGUGUGUGAAGAAGGUCUUCGGAUUGUAAAGCACUUUAAGUUGGGAGGAAGGGCAGUAAGUUAAUACCUUGCUGUUUUGACGUUACCAACAGAAUAAGCACCGGCUAACUUCGUGCCAGCAGCCGCGGUAAUACGAAGGGUGCAAGCGUUAAUCGGAAUUACUGGGCGUAAAGCGCGCGUAGGUGGUUCAGCAAGUUGAAGGUGAAAUCCCCGGGCUCAACCUGCGAACUGCCUCCCAAACUACUGAGCUAGAGUACGGUAGAGGGUAGUGGAAUUUCCUGUGUAGCGGUGAAAUGCGUAGAUAUAGGAAGGAACACCAGUGGCGAAGGCGACUACCUGGACUGAUACUGACACUGAGGUGCGAAAGCGUGGGGAGCAAACAGGAUUAGAUACCCGAGUAGUCC